UCCAGGGUAGCCUAGUGGACAUGGCAUCUGCUUGUGGGUUAUGUGGGUUCGAUUCCCAUCCCUGGAA